rnacentral:lncRNA from 1 species
UCCAAACAUUUCUGACCACAGCCUAUGGUCAGAAAAGCAUUUUAUAUCACAAUUUUUUUGUUUGUUUGUUUGUUUGUUUUGUUUGAGGAAGAUCAGCCCUGAGCUAACCACUGCCAAUCCUCCUCUUUUUGCUGAGGAAGACUGGCCCUGAGCUAACAUCCGUGCCCAUCCUCCUCCACUUUAUACGUGGGAUGCCUACUACACCAUGGCAUUUGCCAAGCGGUGCCAUGUCCACACUGGGGAUCCGAACCUGCGAACCCCGGGCUGCCGAGAAGCGGAACGUGCGAACUUAACCGCUGCGCCACCGGGCCGGCCCCCUAUAUCACAAUUUUAUGGAUACAGAUAUAAUUAAAACAAAAGUUUCACACACUGAUAUGCACUCUGAUAUUCUCGUAUUUUCUCUUCUGUUUUGCUUUAGUUUUGUGAAAAGUGCUGGUGGCAACCCACGAAAUGAACUUCCUGCCUCGCUGUGCGUCACAGGUGCAGCCGACGUGCGGAGGCUCACAGUCCAGGCCGCGCUCCCGGACGAGGGAGCGUUGAGUGACUUACAUCAAAGACAGGUCGGUGAAACCAGAUGCCAGCGUUCUUCCUCCAGCAGACCCGUGAGCAGGCAGGACCCACCUCACCGCCAGCCUGCACACAGCGCUCAGCAGAGCGCCCGGGCCUGGCCCCUGCAGGCCAUCCGUGCACCAGUGAGCCCUGCCUCUCCAGGGCCAGGGACUGCUAGGCCACGGCAGAACCCCGUGGCAGCUCACAGGGAGUAACCGUAACAUGGCCCCUUCCUGCAGGCCUCGGCUCUGGGCACCCUGCAAUUCCAGGUCACUGCGCCAGAGAGGAUGAGCACCCAGGCUGAGCUCACUACCUCCCUCCCUCCCUAAUGCCGACAGACCCUGAGACCUCAUUCAGUCCAGCCGUUACCACAGGGUCCGGCACAGAGAAAACAUCCAAGAAAUACCGUCAUCCAAGAGUCGCAUACCUGCUGGGUGUUACACGCUGCAUUAGGAACAACGGCAGCUCCGAACGAACAGAAAGCAGCAACGGACGACCUCGGGGAAACUGACCGUCUGUGGAGUUAGACAGGAGAGGCUCCCAAGCCACCUUUGAUUCCUUCCUGGACCACAGCCGUGGCCUCCCCUCCUGCCUGGGCUCCCGGCCUCCAGCUUUGCCCCCACACUCACUAUCUUCUCAGUGCAGCAGCCUUCGAUGUUCUCGCUCUCACUCAGUCAAUGCCAAAAUCCCUACCCAGCCACAAGGCCCUGCCGGGUCUCCCCUCAGAUGGGAGCACUACAGGCCCCUGCUCUCCCCACUCAACCCCGAGGCCUCCUUGCUGGUUCCAAACUCACUUCAGCCUGGAGGUCUUCGCACUUGCUUUUCCCUCUGGAAACCCCGUGGCUGGCUUCCUCUCUGUCCCUCAGAUCAUUACUCAGAUGUCAUUUCUCAGCGAAGCUGUCCCUGCCCGCUUCCUCUACUCUUCUCUGUAAAGCUCAUCGCCCUGUGCUUCCUUAUUUGGGUUGUCUUAUGUCUGCCUCAUGCACCACAAUGUAACCUCCAUGACAGCAAAGAAUUUUGUCCUUGUGUUCACUGACGUACGCAAUCACCUAGAACAAUGCAAAACACCCAGGAAGUACUUAUAGAAUGAAUGAAUGAAUGACUCGAGACAGGCAUUGAACAAUAAUGCAAGUGUUAUGAAUUGAACUGUGUCCCCCAAAAGAUGUUGAAGUCCUAACCCCUGUACCCGUGACUGUGACCUGUUGGGCAAUAGGGUCUUUGCAGAGAAUCGAGUUAAGGUGAGGUCAUUAGGGUGGGCCCUCAGCUAGUUUGACUGGUGUCCAUAUAACAGGAGGAUCUUGGACCCAGAAGCAGACACAUACAGAGGGAAGACGAUGGGAAGACGUGGGAGAAAGCCUGAGGAGGUAGACGAGAGGCCUGGAACAGAUUCUCCUUCACAACCUGCAGAGGGAACCAACCCUGCUGACUCCUGGCUUUCGGGCUUCGGCCUCCAGAUCUGCGAGAUAAUAAAUUUCUGUUGUUUCAAGCGCCCA